GUGGGGAAUAUUGGACAAUGGGCGAAAGCCUGAUCCAGCCAUGCCGCGUGUGUGAAGAAGGUCUUCGGAUUGUAAAGCACUUUAAGUUGGGAGGAAGGGCAGUAAGUUAAUACCUUGCUGUUUUGACGUUACCGACAGAAUAAGCACCGGCUAACUUCGUGCCAGCAGCCGCGGUAAUACGAAGGGUGCAAGCGUUAAUCGGAAUUACUGGGCGUAAAGCGCGCGUAGGUGGUUUUGUAAGUUGGAGGUGAAAUCCCCGGGCUCAACCUGGGAACUGACUCCAAAACUGCAUGACUAGAGUACGGUAGAGGGUAGUGGAAUUUCCUGUGUAGCGGUGAAAUGCGUAGAUAUAGGAAGGAACACCAGUGGCGAAGGCGACUACCUGGACUGAUACUGACACUGAGGUGCGAAAGCGUGGGGAGCAAACAGGAUUAGAAACCCCUGUAGUCC
rnacentral:rRNA from 1 species